rnacentral:rRNA from 1 species
CCUGUAUGAAAGGCAAAAUGAGGGCCUAACUGUCUCUUAUAAUAAAUCAAUUAAACUGAUCCCCCAGUUCAAAAGCUGGGAUACACACAUAAGACCAGAAGACCCUGUGAAGCUUAAACUAAACUAUUAAAUCUCAUAAUAGCUCCUUUCGGUUGGGGCGACCUUGGAAAUAAAAAGAACUUCCAAACAAUGAUCUUACCUCAUACCACAGGCCAACAAGCCAUAAAUAGACCCAGUAUAGCUGACAAUUGAACCAAGUUACUCCAGGGAUAACAGCGCCAUCUUCUUCAAGAGCCCAUAUCAAAAAGAAGGUUUACGACCUCGAUGUUGGAUCAGGACAUCCUAUUGGUGCAGCAGCUAUUAAGGGUUCGUUUGUUCAACGAUUAACAGUCCUACGUGAUCU